GAUGAAGAACGUAGCGAAAUGCGAUAAGUAAUGUGAAUUGCAGAAUUCAGUGAAUCAUCGAAUCUUUGAACGCACAUUGCGCCCGCCAGUAUUCUGGCGGGCAUGCCUGUCUGAGCGUCAUUUCAACCCUCAUGCCCCUAGGGCGUGGUGUUGGGGAUCGGCCAAAGCCCGCGAGGGACGGUCGGCCCCUAAAUCUAGUGGCGGACCCGUCGUGGCCUCCUCUGCGAAGUAGUGAUAUUCCGCAUCGGAGAGCGACGAGCCCCUGCCGUUAAACCCCCAACUUUCCAAGGUUGACCUCAGAUCAGGUAGGAAUACCCGCUGAACUUAAGCAUAUCAAUAAGCGGAGGA
rnacentral:misc_RNA from 1 species